UGGGGAAUAUUGGGCAAUGGGCGAAAGCCUGACCCAGCAACGCCGCGUGAGGGAAGAAGGUUUUCGGAUUGUAAACCUCUGUCCUAAGUGACGAAGGAAGUGACGGUAGCUUAGGAGGAAGCCCCGGCUAACUACGUGCCAGCAGCCGCGGUAAUACGUAGGGGGCGAGCGUUGUCCGGAUUUACUGGGUGUAAAGGGUGCGUAGGUGGUAUGGCAAGUCAGAAGUGAAAACCCGGGGCUCAACCCCGCGGAUUGCUUUUGAAACUGUCAGACUGGAGUACCGGAGAGGUAAGCGGAAUUCCUAGUGUAGCGGUGAAAUGCGUAGAUAUUAGGAGGAACACCAGUGGCGAAGGCGGCUUACUGGACGGUAACUGACACUGAGGCACGAAAGCGUGGGGAGCAAACAGGAUUAGAUACCC
rnacentral:rRNA from 1 species